GGCCCUGUUCUCUUUACCGUUUUCGGGUCGUUUUCUGUUUUCGAUUUUUCAAAACGGUGAAAACGCGUUCUCUUUCCCGUUUUCGAAAACGAAUUUUCGAAAACGAAAAAAAAUUUGUGAAGAAAACACAAAACGACUUUUUUGUCGUUUUGGGCGUUUUCAGUGUAAAACUUGAAAAAAUUGAAAACGCGGGAAACAC
rnacentral:lncRNA from 1 species